rnacentral:misc_RNA from 1 species
GAUGAAGAACGUAGCGAAAUGCGAUACUUGGUGUGAAUUGCAGAAUCCCGUGAACCAUCGAGUCUUUGAACGCAAGUUGCGCCCGAAGCCAUUAGGCCGAGGGCACGCCUGCCUGGGCGUCACACGUCGUUGCCCCCCCAUCUACUCCUUCGGGAUUGCGGGGGGCGGAUGAUGGCCUCCCGUGCGCCUCGCCGCGCGGUUGGCAUAAAUGCCAAGUCCUCGGCGACGCACGCCACGACAAUCGGUGGUUGCGAAACCUCGGUUGCCCGUCGUGUGCGGUCGUCGCGCAUCGAGGGCUCGAAAAAAUUGCCGGGUCCCGGCUCGGCUUUCAACGCGACCCCAGGUCAGGCGGGGUUACCCGCUGAAUUUAAGCAUAUCAUAAGCGGAGGA